rnacentral:rRNA from 1 species
GAUGAACGCUGGCGGCGUGCCUAAUACAUGCAAGUCGAGCGAACGGACGAGAAGCUUGCUUCUCUGAUGUUAGCUGCGGACGGGUGAGUAACACGUGGAUAACCUACCUAUAAGACUGGGAUAACUUCGGGAAACCGGAGCUAAUACCGGAUGAUAUUUUGAACCGCGUGGUUCAAAAGUGAAAGACGGUCUUGCUGUCACUUAUAGAUGGAUCCGCGCUGCAUUAGCUAGUUGGUAAGGUAACGGCUUACCAAGGCAACGAUGCAUAGCCGACCUGAGAGGGUGAUCGGCCACACUGGAACUGAGACACGGUCCAGACUCCUACGGGAGGCAGCAGUAGGGAAUCUUCCGCAAUGGGCGAAAGCCUGACGGAGCAACGCCGCGUGAGUGAUGAAGGUCUUCGGAUCGUAAAACUCUGUUAUUAGGGAAGAACAUAUGUGUAAGUAACUGUGCACAUCUUGACGGUACCUAAUCAGAAAGCCACGGCUAACUACGUG